rnacentral:pre_miRNA from 1 species
AUACUACUCCCUCCGUUCGGAAAUACUUGUCAUCAAAAUGAAUAAAAUGGGAUGUAUCUAGAUGUAUUUUAGUUCUAGAUACAUCUCUUUUUAUCCAUUUUGAUGACAAGUAUUUUCGGACGGAGGGAGUACUAA